rnacentral:ncRNA from 1 species
GAGUUUGAUCAUGGCUCAGGAUGAACACUGGCAGCAUGCUUAACACCUGCAAGUCGGAUGGGAAGUAGUGUUUCCAAUGAUGGACGGGUGAAUAAUGCGUAAGAAUCUGCCCUUUAGAGGGGAACAACAGCUGAAAAUGACUGCUAAUACCCAAUAGGCUGAGGAGCAAAAGGAAGAAUCUACCUGAGGACGGGUUGGCGUCUGAUUAGCUAGUUGGUGAGGCAAUAUAUUAUUAAGGUUAUGAUCAUUAGCUGGUCCAAGGAGAUGAUUAGCCACACUGGGACUGAGACACGGCCUAGACUCCUACAGGAAGGCAGCGGUGGGGAAUUUUUUGCAAUGGGCAUAGAUGAGCUACCUUAGACACAAGCCCCGUUAACACCGUACAAGUUCGGGCC